CGUUCGACGUGUGUUAAUGUGUGGUAACUUGUUUCUCUGCUAUGUUUAAUCGGUGCUCUAGUCUUGGACGAUUUUAGUAAAUUCACCAAAAUGUCUCCAUGGAGUUAUUGAGUUGGCGGCCAGUGGGUCCAUGACAAUGACUUCUGUUUUACUGCCGUGUGACAGGCACCGUUUGGAAACAGUUAAGGUGAUGCUGUACAGCUCCACAAACUUGGCCUGAGUGGACACAAUCACAUUGACAUCGAGGGAAGGACAGCAGGAGCAGCCAAUGACCUCUGCUGUCGGACGACAGGGCAAGGGGGAGCACCUGGGAGGAGUAUGGGUUAAUAGUUUAUGAAAGACACGGCCACUGUUUAUCCAAUGACUGUGUGCAGGAUCAAGACCCUCAAAUAAAGUUAACCAUGUGA